UACGAAGGGGGCUAGCGUUGCUCGGAAUCACUGGGCGUAAAGGGUGCGUAGGCGGGUUUUUAAGUCAGGGGUGAAAUCCUGGAGCUCAACUCCAGAACUGCCUUUGAUACUGAAGAUCUUGAGUCCGGGAGAGGUGAGUGGAACUGCGAGUGUAGAGGUGAAAUUCGUAGAUAUCGGGAGGAACACCGGUGGCGAAGGCGGCGACCUGGUUUGAUACUGACGCUGAGGCGCGAAAGCGUGGGGAGCAAACAGG
rnacentral:rRNA from 1 species